AGAGUUUGAUCAUGGCUCAGGACGAACGCUGGCGGCGUGCUUAACGCAUGCAAGUCGAACGAGGCCCAACCAGUGGCAACACUGGGGAAGGCCUAGUGGCGAACGGGUGAGUAACACGUGAGGAACCCACCCUGGAGACCGGGAUAACUCUCCGAAAGGAGAGCUAAUACCGGAUGCCCUCAUCGGACCGCAUGAUCUGAUGAGGAAAUGGAUUCCGCUCCAGGACGGCCUCGCGGCCUAUCAGCUUGUUGGUGAGGGUAACGGCCCACCAAGGCUACGACGGGUAGCUGGUCUGAGAGGACGAUCAGCCACACUGGGACUGAGACACGGCCCAGACUCCUACGGGAGGCAGCAGCGGGGAAUAUUGCGCAAUGGGCGAAAGCCUGACGCAGCAACGCCGCGUGGGGGAUGAAGGCUCUCGGGUUGUAAACCCCUUUCAGCAGGGACGAAUUCAGACGGUACCUGCAGAAGAAGCCCCGGCCAACUACGUGCCAGCAGCCGCGGUAACACGUAGGGGGCAAGCGUUGUCCGGAUUUAUUGGGCGUAAAGAGCUCGUAGGCGGUUCGGUAAGUCGGGUGUGAAAACUCUGGGCUCAACUCAGAGACGCCACCCGAUACUGCUGUGACUUGAGUCUGGUAGGGGAGUGUGGAAUUCCCGGUGUAGCGGUGAAAUGCGCAGAUAUCGGGAGGAACACCAGUGGCGAAGGCGGCACUCUGGGCCAGUACUGACGCUGAGGAGCGAAAGCGUGGGGAGCGAACAGGAUUAGAUACCCUAGUAGUCC
rnacentral:rRNA from 1 species